UACGUAGGGGGCGAGCGUUGUCCGGAGUUACUGGGCGUAAAGGGCAUGCAGGCGGUCCGACACGUUUUGUGUGACAGCGGGUGGCUUAACUACCCGAGGAUACGAAAGACGGUUGGACUUGAGGACUCGAGAGGGACACGGAAUUCCGGGUGGGGUGGUGAAAUGCGUAGAGAUCCGGAGGAACACCGAAGGCGAAGGCAGUGUCCUGGCGAGUGACUGACGCUGAGGUGCGAAAGCCAGGGGAGCGAACGGG
rnacentral:rRNA from 1 species